AUUGAACGCUGGCGGCAGGCCUAACACAUGCAAGUCGAGCGGAUGACGGGAGCUUGCUCCUUGAUUCAGCGGCGGACGGGUGAGUAAUGCCUAGGAACCUGCCUGGGAGUGGGGGACAACGUUUCGAAAGGAACGCUAAUACCGCAUACGUCCUACGGGAGAAAGCAGGGGACCUUCGGGCCUUGCGGUAUCAGAUGAGCCGAGGUCGGAUUAGCUAGUAGGUGAGGUAAUGGCUCACCUAGGCGACGAUCCGUAACUGGUCUGAGAGGAUGUUCAGUCACACUGGAACUGAGACACGGUCCAGACUCCUACGGGAGGCAGCAGUGGGGAAUAUUGAACAAUGGGCGAAAGCCUGAUCCAGCCAUGCCGCGUGUGUGAAGAAGGUCUUCGGAUUGUAAAGCACUUUAAGUUGGGAGGAAGGGCAGUAAGCUAAUACCUUGCUGUUUUGACGUUACCGACAGAAUAAGCACCGGCUAACUCUGUGCCAGCCGCCGCCGUAACAC
rnacentral:rRNA from 1 species